GACGAACCGUGCGAACGUUGUUCGGAUUCACUGGGCUUAAAGGGCGCGUAGGCGGGUUACCAAGUCAGGGGUGAAAUCUUUCGGCUCAACCGGAAAAGUGCCCCUGAUACUGGUAGUCUUGAGGGAGGUAGGGGCAUGUGGAACUUCCGGUGGAGCGGUGAAAUGCGUAGAUAUCGGAAGGAACGCCGGUGGCGAAAGCGACGUGCUGGAUCUCUUCUGACGCUGAGGCGCGAAAGCUAGGGGAGCGAAUGGG
rnacentral:rRNA from 1 species